rnacentral:rRNA from 1 species
UUCGCAAUGCCCGAAAGGGUGACGAUGCGACGCCGCGUGAGCGAAGAAGGCCCUAGGGUUGUAAAGCUCUGUCGAGGGUUAUGAAAUAUAGAUGGGUUAAUACCCCAUUUAUUUGACAAAAGCCCAAAAGGAAGCCACGGCUAACUCUGUGCCAGCAGCCGCGGUAAUACAGAGGUGGCGAGCGUUGUUCGGUAUUAUUGGGCGUAAAGAGCACGUAGGUGGUUUUGUAAGUCAGGUGUGAAAGCCUUCUGUUCAAAGGAAGAACGGCAUCUGAAACCGCAGAUCUUGAGUGUAGGAGGGGAGAGUGGAACUUCUGGUGGAGCGGUGAAAUGCGUAGAUAUCAGAAGGAACGUCGGCGGCGAAAGCGACUCUCUGGCCUAUUACUGACACUGAGGUGCGAAAGUUAGGGGAGCAAACGGGAUUAGAUACCCCGGUAGUCCUAACCGUAAACGAUGGGCACUAAGUAGAGGGGUUUU